rnacentral:rRNA from 1 species
GACCAGACUCCUACGGGAGGCAGCAGUGGGGGAUAUUGCACAAUGGGGGGAACCCUGAUGCAGCGACGCCGCGUGGGUGAAGGAGCGUUUCGGCGCGUAAAGCCCUAUCGGCAGGGAAGAAGGAGGACGGUACCUGACUAAGAAGCCCCGGCUAACUACGUGCCAGCAGCCGCGGGAAUACGUAGGGGGCAAGCGUUAUCCGGAUUUACUGGGUGUAAAGGGAGCGCAGACGGCAGUGCAAGUCUGGAGUGAAAGCCCGGGGCCCAACCCCGGAACUGCUCUGGAAACUGUGCGGCUAGAGUACUGGAGGGGCAGGCGGAAUUCCUAGUGUAGCGGUGAAAUGCGUAGAUAUUAGGAGGAACACCAGUGGCGAAGGCGGCCUGCUGGACAGUAACUGACGUUGAGGCUCGAAAGCGUGGGGAGCAAACAGGAUUAGAUACCCUUGUA